rnacentral:lncRNA from 1 species
CGUCGACCUUUCUCCGUCCUUUAGGUGUUUCUUCCCGUUUAGGUCAAGAUGCCUAGUAAGACCAUGUUUAGGAAGAGGUCCCGUCCCGAGGCCGGUCCCGAGCGGCGCUCCAAGGCGCGGCACGAUCCCGCGAGGGAACCACCUCCGGCUCGUUCCCCGCCUAGGGCGGUUCCCGCAAGGCCGUUGGCCGGGAAGGCCGUCACCACCGGGAGGUAUGUCGACUUUGACUAUCUCUCCCGGGAAGGGUUCACCAUAGGUGAUAGGCUUAGAGCCCAGGGCCUAGAGUAC